rnacentral:rRNA from 1 species
GACGAACGCUGGCGGCGUGCUUAACACAUGCAAGUCGAACGGAAAGGCCCUUCGGGGUACUCGAGUGGCGAACGGGUGAGUAACACGUGGGUGAUCUGCCCUGCACUUUGGGAUAAGCCUGGGAAACUGGGUCUAAUACCGAAUAGGACCACGCGCUUCAUGGUGUGUGGUGGAAAGCUUUUGCGGUGUGGGAUGGGCCCGCGGCCUAUCAGCUUGUUGGUGGGGUAAUGGCCUACCAAGGCGACGACGGGUAGCCGGCCUGAGAGGGUGACCGGCCACACUGGGACUGAGAUACGGCCCAGACUCCUACGGGAGGCAGCAGUGGGGAAUAUUGCACAAUGGGCGCAAGCCUGAUGCAGCGACGCCACGUGAGGGAUGACGGCCUUCGGGUUGUAAACCUCUUUCACCAGGGACGAAGCGUAAGUGACGGUACCUGGAGAAGAAGCACCGGCCAACUACGUG